rnacentral:rRNA from 1 species
UACGUAGGGUGCGAGCAUUGUUCCGGGAAUUAUUGGGCGUAAAGAGCUUGUAGGCGGUUUGUCGCGUCUGCUGUGAAAUCUCAAGGCUCAACCUUGAGCUUGCAGUGGGUACGGGCAGACUAGAGUGUGGUAGGGGAGACUGGAAUUCCUGGUGUAGCGGUGAAAUGCGCAGAUAUCAGGAGGAACACCGAUGGCGAAGGCAGGUCUCUGGGCCACUACUG